rnacentral:lncRNA from 1 species
GGUGGCCAGGACGUGGCCCUCUCCUCCCCAGCCAGUGCCCAGCACUGAGGAUGCCCUCCCUUGCUCCUCCUCCCCUCCUCUCCCUCACCUCCUUCCUCAAACAAAAUCAACUGGUCCUUUUCUUAGGUAACUGAGUCAGCAAGGCAGGUGGCCGCUCGCCCUGACAGCCCUGACAGCGGCAGGAUUAAGGGGGGAUCACGGCCCUUUGUCCUCUCCGCAGAGACUGAACAACUCCCUUGGUAAGGUGGGGUCUCCAGGGCUUCUUCGGGCUUCCUCCAGCCGGGUGGGGCCCUGGUGCCACCUCUGCAGGGAAGAGGGCUGAGCCGACCAGCAUGGCACAGGCCAUGGGCAGGGUCUCAUUCCAGCGCAAAAUCGACCCACCUCUUUGGUUUUGCUUUGUUUUUCCAGUACCGGGAAUUGAACUCACGACCUCGUGCUUGCCAGGCAGGAGCUGUGCCGCUGAGCUAAAUCCCCAGCCCCGACCCACCUCUUUGGACUCCAGAGACACGCGGCCUCCUGCCGAGAGAGUGCUCCCCAAUCCGGUGCCAGAGGCCGCAGAGCUCAGAUGGCACCCGGCCUGCUCCUCCCGGCCCGGCCCCUUCGCUUCUAUGGCUUUGUGGAGGGAGCGCGCCACCUGCUUUUGCAUAGGCCACGCAGGACGCGAGGAUCCGCUUCUCCCGAAGCCAGCCAGCCGUCCCUCCUCGGCGCACCCCACCCGCCCGGGCCAGACAGUCGCGGAGCACGGAGCUGCGUCCGCCCUCCCUGCACACCGGCCCGCCGUCGGGUCUGCCCCUCUCCCCUCCUGCCUUCCCGCCCACUCUCCGCCCCUCUCAGCCCACAGUCACCCUGUCACAGUCCCCAGCGGCACCGCGCUGGGCAGCGCCCCGGCGCCGCCACGCCCUCCGCGUCAGGCUGGGCUCGUGACCUCGCCGUGACUGCCAUCGGUUUUCUGUGCCCGCCGCGGCGUCUGCCUGUCCCGCCUCCCUCCUUCCCGUCCUCCAAAGGCCGCCUUGGCACUGCGUGCCGGGACCCUCUGCUCUGCACCCCAGGCCGAGCUCCGAGGCUGGGUCUCUGCCCACGCUGCCGCCUGGCGGCCCUGUCGGGAAUCCGGCCUCGCUGCCCAGCUGCCUUCCCGGCCCCGCCGUCCCCUCCGCCCUCGGCCCAUUGCCCACAGCGCCUCUCCUCUGUCCUCCUCCGCAGGCCCCGUCCCACCCACACCAGCGCCAGGCCCGAGCCAGCUGCCCUCCCGCCUCGCGGUGCUCGUCCUCACGGGGUGGCAGGGAGGCCACCACGCCUCCCGCCUGCACACUGUGACGUCCCUUCCCGCAGAGCGGCCCGUGGCGCCCGCCUGCAGUGCGCACGGACCCGGCCUGUCCCUGUCCCAGCCCCCGCGGCUCCCUGGGGCCCUUGGAGUGAGCUGCUCACGCUCGGUCCAGGCUCCUUCCCAGGCUCUCGCAUGCUGCUCCCCCUCCCUGCACUCUCCUCCUCCUCAUCCUUCAUCCCUCGGCCUUGCCUGGCUUUAAGGCCACUUCCUCCAGGCAGCCUUCCUGGUUCAUCCUCAAAACCAAUCAGACCACACACAGCAGCUUCUGGCUCCCUGAGGAGGGCCGGGAAGCCGCACCUGUGUGACAGAAACGUCCUUUCCCGGCCUCCUCUGUUAUUGGUUAGCAGAGAUGACGUUAAGGUAGCAGCUGCAGUUUGGAAGUUGGGCGCUUGGAGGAAGCGACAGAGCUGGAGGGUGACACCGCCUGUUUGA